GUCAGUGUGGUGCAGUGGUUUGAAUGUUGGACUAUGACUGUUGGAGACCCAGAGUUCGAAUUUCUGCUCAGCCA